rnacentral:rRNA from 1 species
AGCGUUUAGCGGCGGACGGGUGAGUAACACGUGGGCAACCUGCCCUGCAGAUCGGGAUAACUCCGGGAAACCGGUGCUAAUACCGAAUAGUUUGAAGCCUCACCUGAGGCUUCACGGAAAGACGGUUUCGGCUGUCACUGCAGGAUGGGCCCGCGGCGCAUUAGCUAGUUGGUGGGGUAACGGCCCACCAAGGCCACGAUGCGUAGCCGACCUGAGAGGGUGACCGGCCACACUGGGACUGAAACACGGCCCAGACUCCUACGGGAGGCAGCAGUAGGGAAUCUUCCGCAAUGGACGCAAGUCUGACGGAACAACGCCGCGUGAGUGACGAAGGUUUUCGGAUCGUAAAACUCUGUUGUGAGGGAAGAACACGUACCAACUAACUAUUGGUACCUUGACGGUACCUCACCAGAAAGCCACGGCUAACUACGUGCCAGCAGCCGCGGUAAUACGUAAGUGGCAAGCGUUGUCCGGAAUUAUUGGGCGUAAAGCGCGCGCAGGCGGUUCCUUAAGUCUGAUGUGAAAGCCCACGGCUCAACCGUGGAGGGUCAUUGGAAACUGGGGAACUUGAGUGCAGAAGAAGAAAGUGGAAUUCCACGUGUAGCGGUGAAAUGCGUAGAGAUGUGGAGGAACACCAGUGGCGAAGGCGACUUUCUGGUCUGUAACUGACGCUGAGGCGCGAAAGCGUGGGGAGCAAACAGAUUAGAUACCCUGGUAGUCCACGCCGUAAACGAUGAGUGCUAAGUGUUAGGGGUUUCCGCCCCUUAGUGCUGCAGCUAACGCAUUAAGCA